UAGGGAAUCUUCCACAAUGGACGCAAGUCUGAUGGAGCAACGCCGCGUGAGUGAAGAAGGUUUUCGGAUCGUAAAGCUCUGUUGUUGGUGAAGAAGGAUAGAGGUAGUAACUGGCCUUUAUUUGACGGUAAUCAACCAGAAAGUCACGGCUAACUACGUGCCAGCAGCCGCGGUAAUACGUAGGUGGCAAGCGUUGUCCGGAUUUAUUGGGCGUAAAGCGAGCGCAGGCGGAAGAAUAAGUCUGAUGUGAAAGCCCUCGGCUUAACCGAGGAACUGCAUCGGAAACUGUUUUUCUUGAGUGCAGAAGAGGAGAGUGGAAUUCCAUGUGUAGCGGUGGAAUGCGUAGAUAUAUGGAAGAACACCAGUGGCGAAGGCGACUCUCUGGUCUGCAACUGACGCUGAGGCUCGAAAGCAUGGGGAGCGAACAGG
rnacentral:rRNA from 1 species